UUGAACGCUGGCGGCAGGCCUAACACAUGCAAGUCGAACGGUAACAGGAAGCAGCUUGCUGCUUUGCUGACGAGUGGCGGACGGGUGAGUAAUGUCUGGGAAACUGCCUGAUGGAGGGGGAUAACUACUGGAAACGGUAGCUAAUACCGCAUAACGUCGCAAGACCAAAGAGGGGGACCUUCGGGCCUCUUGCCAUCGGAUGUGCCCAGAUGGGAUUAGCUUGUUGGUGGGGUAACGGCUCACCAAGGCGACGAUCCCUAGCUGGUCUGAGAGGAUGACCAGCCACACUGGAACUGAGACACGGUCCAGACUCCUACGGGAGGCAGCAGUGGGGAAUAUUGCACAAUGGGCGCAAGCCUGAUGCAGCCAUGCCGCGUGUAUGAAGAAGGCCUUCGGGUUGUAAAGUACUUUCAGCGGGGAGGAAGGGAGUAAAGUUAAUACCUUUACUCAUUGACGUUACCCGCAGAAGAAGCACCGGCUAACUCCGUGCCAGCAGCCGCGGUAAUACGGAGGGUGCAAGCGUUAAUCGGAAUUACUGGGCGUAAAGCGCACGCAGGCGGUUUGUUAAGUCAGAUGUGAAAUCCCCGGGCUCAACCUGGGAACUGCAUCUGAUACUGGCAAGCUUGAGUCUCGUAGAGGGGGGUAGAAUUCCAGGUGUAGCGGUGAAAUGCGUAGAGAUCUGGAGGAAUACCGGUGGCGAAGGCGGCCCCCUGGACGAAGACUGACGCUCAGGUGCGAAAGCGUGGGGAGCAAACAGGAUUAGAUACCCUGGUAGUCCACGCCGUAAACGAUGUCGACUUGGAGGUUGUGCCCUUGAGGCGUGGCUUCCGGAGCUAACGCGUUAAGUCGACCGCCUGGGGAGUACGGCCGCAAGGUUAAAACUCAAAUGAAUUGACGGGGGCCCGCACAAGCGGUGGAGCAUGUGGUUUAAUUCGAUGCAACGCGAAGAACCUUACCUGGUCUUGACAUCCACAGAACUUUCCAGAGAUGGAUUGGUGCCUUCGGGAACUGUGAGACAGGUGCUGCAUGGCUGUCGUCAGCUCGUGUUGUGAAAUGUUGGGUUAAGUCCCGCAACGAGCGCAACCCCUAUUGUUAGUUGCUACGCAAGAGCACUCUAGCGAGACUGCCGUUGACAAAACGGAGGAAGGUGGGGACGACGUCAAAUCAUCAUGCCCCUUAUGACCUGGGCUACACACGUGCUACAAUGGUUGGUACAACGAGUUGCGAGUCGGUGACGGCGAGCUAAUCUCUUAAAGCCAAUCUCAGUUCGGAUUGUAGGCUGCAACUCGCCUACAUGAAGUCGGAAUCGCUAGUAAUCGUGGAUCAGAAUGCCACGGUGAAUACGUUCCCGGGCCUUGUACACACCGCCCGUCACACCAUGGGAGUGGGUUGCAAAAGAAGUAGGUAGCUUAACCUUCGGGAGGGCGCUUACCACUUUGUGAUUCAUGACUGGGGUG
rnacentral:rRNA from 1 species